GGGACAAGCCCUGGAAACGGGGUCUAAUACCGGAUACGACACGGGGUCGCAUGACCUCCGUGUGGAAAGCUCCGGCGGUGAAGGAUGAGCCCGCGGCCUAUCAGCUUGUUGGUGGGGUGAUGGCCUACCAAGGCGACGACGGGUAGCCGGCCUGAGAGGGCGACCGGCCACACUGGGACUGAGACACGGCCCAGACUCCUACGGGAGGCAGCAGUGGGGAAUAUUGCACAAUGGGCGAAAGCCUGAUGCAGCGACGCCGCGUGAGGGAUGACGGCCUUCGGGUUGUAAACCUCUUUCAGCAGGGAAGAAGCGAAAGUGACGGUACCUGCAGAAGAAGCGCCGGCUAACUACGUGCCAGCAGCCGCGGUAAUACGUAGGGCGCAAGCGUUGUCCGGAAUUAUUGGGCGUAAAGAGCUCGUAGGCGGCUUGUCGCGUCGGAUGUGAAAGCCCGGGGCUUAACCCCGGGUCUG
rnacentral:rRNA from 1 species